AGGGUCGGAAAGUCUCGUUUACUUUCACUUUCGAUUUACUACUUCCGGGCAGCUGUCGAAAAAUGUCACUUUGUUGUGCUUUGGUUAUGCUCAGAUGACAGCGUUAAAAUGAACCUACAGCCUAUAUAGAUUCCCUACUUAUGCAAAGAGAGGAAGAAGUGGAUUUAUAGAUGCAGAUGCUGUUAUAUACAUCAUUACCGUCAGAAGUAUCAAUGUGUUGGUGGCUGUUAUGAAGAGAAUGGGCCCAUUUUAACAACUUCUAGGAUGGGCGGUACAAGGGUUCAUACCAGUGACCAAUGAAGCACAGCUGUUACAAGACCAGGAAGAGUCAAAUUCAUGUGGAGUGUGCAAUUGAAUUUAAUUAAAAACAUCCAUAUUCUAAAUCAUAUACCUUCACAAUACAGACAUAUAUAUCUGUCCACUAAGAUUUUCAACUCUGUGUGACUCUUGUACAUUUGCAAAUCCUCUACUGAAGGAAAUAGCUGAUAUGAAUUUCACAAUUAAUUAAAUCUUACCUUUGGACUUAGAUACUAUAAAUGUACAACUUCUUACUCACAUUAUUCUGGAUUGUCAAGUUGUAUUAAAUGCAUUCAAGUAAAUGAUAAAGUGAACAUUUAUUUAAGGUUGCUAGUCAAAGAAAUUGUUACAAUGGUGAUUCAUGCACAUCUUCACACUGAUCAUUUGUAGCAAAAACAAAAUAAAACUAAUGGAAGACAUUUGAAUUUUCA